UCUCCUGGAAACGGGUGGUAAUGCCGGAUGCUCCAUCACACCGCAUGGUGUGUUGGGAAAGCCUUUGCGGCAUGGGAUGGGGUCGCGUCCUAUCAGCUUGAUGGCGGGGUAACGGCCCACCAUGGCUUCGACGGGUAGCCGGCCUGAGAGGGCGACCGGCCACAUUGGGACUGAGAUACGGCCCAGACUCCUACGGGAGGCAGCAGUGGGGAAUAUUGCACAAUGGGCGCAAGCCUGAUGCAGCGACGCCGCGUGAGGGAUGGAGGCCUUCGGGUUGUAAACCUCUUUUGUUAGGGAGCAAGGCAUUUUGUGUUGAGUGUACCUUUCGAAUAAGCACCGGCUAACUACGUGCCAGCAGCCGCGGUAAUACGUAGGGUGCAAGCGUUAUCCGGAAUUAUUGGGCGUAAAGGGCUCGUAGGCGGUUCGUCGCGUCCGGUGUGAAAGUCCAUCGCUUAACGGUGGAUCCGCGCCGGGUACGGGCGGGCUUGAGUGCGGUAGGGGAGACUGGAAUUCCCGGUGUAACGGUGGAAUGUGUAGAUAUCGGGAAGAACACCA
rnacentral:rRNA from 1 species